rnacentral:misc_RNA from 1 species
AGGCUGAUCCUCUGGCAGAUUGAACGGCCCUCCAGGACAACUGUCACCGGAGGAACAACGGCUGAAACGAGAUCAUCAUUGUCAAGGCUAGGGAAGCUUUUUGAGUGAGCCAUGAAGGGAAGAGAAGAAGGUGGUCUAGUGCUGAUGUUUGAGAUCAGUCUUUUCUCUUGCCAUCUCCUUUUCAAGGAUUGUUCUUGCCUUUCCUGAGGAUCAAAA